rnacentral:rRNA from 1 species
GCACCACAAGGGGUGAAGCCUGCGGUUCAAUUGGACUCAACGCCGGGAAACUUACCAGGGGAGACAGCAGUAUGACGGUCAGGUUGACGACCUUACCCGACGAGCUGAGAGGAGGUGCAUGGCCGUCGCCAGUUCGUGCCGUGAGGUAUCCUGUUAAGUCAGGCAACGAACGAGAUCCGCACCUUUAUUUGCCAACAAGAAGUCACGACUUCGUUGGGAACACUAAAGGGACCGCCGUCGAUAAGACGGAGGAAGGAGCGGGCAAAGGCAGGUCAGUAUGCCCCGAAACCCCUGGGCUACACGCGGGCUGCAAUGGUAUGAACAAUGGGCUGUGACUCCGAAAGGAGAAACCAAUCCCGAAAUCAUAUCUCAGUUGGAAUUGUCGGCUGUAACCCGCCGACAUGAACGUGGAAUCCCUAGUAAUCGUGUGUCAUCAUCGCACGGUGAAUACGUCUCUGCUCCUUGCACACACCGCCCGUCGCUCCAUCCGAGUGUGCUAAAAAUGAGGUUUGGUCAAUCUGGUCAUAUCGAGUUUCUAGUAUGCGAGGAGGGAG